UUCUACACAAUUAUUUAGAACUCUGAUGAUGAAAUAGUUUGGGUUUUUUAUUCUCUCCAAAAAAAAAACCCAAACAAACAAAACAAAAACCAACACCCAACCACCAAAGAAAUCGUUAUGUCCAAUUUAUCAUUCAUUAUUGACUUCUUGUGUUGUAUUAAUAGAUCAUAUAGCUCUACACAUUAAUUAGUUUUGUUGCCACAAAACCAACAUUUCAUUGGUAUAUUAUAUUUGUACUCGAUUUGCAAGCUUCUUUGUGUCUGAUAGUAAUUUUGGGUGAACUAUUUACAAGUUGUCUGUGAUAAGUCCCUUUUACACAGCAUUGCUUGUGUAUUUUUUGUAUGAUUUAUUUCGAAUCGAGCAGGGUUAAUAAUAUUUACAUGUACUAAGUAUAAUAUAAGUAUUCAUUCGUUUUGAAGGUUAAAGAGGUAUUUUUUAAAUUGAAAUUUAAAGCCAUGCAUAAACAUUGCUUUUUUUUAGUUGUUUAGUAAUGAAUUUGUUGAUUAAAACAGUUGUAGAGUACUUUUGUUUGAGACCAAAGAUCAGUGAACCGUCAAUGAUAAAAAAUAGUUUCAAUUCUUAGACAUUUCAACUACAAUGUAUGUUGAUUUAAGUACAUGUGUGUCUUUAACCAAGUACAUUUAAGUAAUAUGUAUCUACUGCAUUCUAAAUAAACGAAUGAUAUAAACAUG
rnacentral:misc_RNA from 1 species